rnacentral:rRNA from 1 species
CCUACGGGCGGCAGCAGUGGGGAAUAUUGCACAAUGGGGGAAACCCUGAUGCAGCAACGCCGCGUGAGUGAGGAAGGAUUUCGGUAUGUAAAGCUCUAUUAGCAGGGAAUAGAAAAGAAGGUACCUGAAAAAGAAGGCCAGGCUAACUACGUGCCAGCCGCCGCGGUAAUACGUAGGGGGCAAGCGUUAUCCGGAUUUACGGGGUGGAAAGGGAGCGUAGACGGAAAGGCAAGUCAGGAGUGAAAACCCGAGGCUCAACCAGGGGACUGCAUUUGAAACUGUCAGACUAGAGUACGGGAGAGGUAAGCGGAAUUCCUGGUGUAGCGGUGAAAUGCGUAGAUAUUAGGAGGAACACCAGUGGCGAAGGCGUCUUACUGGACCGAAACUGACGUUGAGGCUCGAAAGCGUGGGGAGCAAACAGGAUUAGAUACCCGUGUAGUC